rnacentral:rRNA from 1 species
CUGGCUCAGGAUGAACGCUAGCUACAGGCUAACACAUGCAAGUCGAGGGGUAGCAGGGUAGCAAUACCGCUGACGACCGGCGCACGGGUGAGUAACACGUAUCCAACCUUCCCAUAACUCAGGGAUAGCCUUUCGAAAGAAAGAUUAAUACCUGAUAGUACUUUUUCAAGGCAUCUUGAGAAAGUUAAAGAUUUAUUGGUUAUGGAUGGGGAUGCGUUCCAUUAGAUAGUUGGUGAGGUAACGGCUCACCAAGUCUUCGAUGGAUAGGGGUUCUGAGAGGAAGGUCCCCCACAUUGGUACUGAGACACGGACCAAACUCCUACGGGAGGCAGCAGUGAGGAAUAUUGGUCAAUGGGCGAGAGCCUGAACCAGCCAAGUAGCGUGAAGGAUGAAGGUCUUAUGGAUUGUAAACUUCUUUUAUAGUAGAAUAAAGUGAUCCACGUGUGGAUUUUUGUAUGUAUACUAUGAAUAAGGAUCGGCUAACUCCGUGCCAGCCGCUGC